UACGAAGGGGGCUAGCGUUGCUCGGAAUUACUGGGCGUAAAGGGCGCGUAGGCGGUUUGUACAGUCAGGUGUGAAAUUCCCGGGCUCAACCUGGGGGCUGCACUUGAUACGUAUGGACUGGAGUGGGGAAGAGGGUCGUGGAAUUCCCAGUGUAGAGGUGAAAUUCGUAGAUAUUGGGAAGAACACCGGUGGCGAAGGCGGCGACCUGGUCCUUGACUGACGCUGAGGCACGAAGGCCAGGGGAGCAAACGGG
rnacentral:rRNA from 1 species